GAUGAACGCUGGCGAGAUGCUUUACACAUGCAAGUCGUACGAAAGUUUUUAACUUAAGUGGCGGACGGGUGAGUAACACGUAAGAAUUUACCUUUAGGAGGGGGAUAACAACUGGAAACGGUUGCUAAUACCCCAUAUGCUUUCGAGUGAAAUGGAUUUUUCCGCCUAGAGAGAAGCUUGCGGCUGAUUAGCUUGUUGGUGAGGUAAUGGCUCACCAAGGCGACGAUCAGUAUCUGGUUUGAGAGGACGAUCAGACACACUGGAACUGAGACACGGUCCAGACUCCUACGGGAGGCAGCAGUGGGGAAUCUUAGACAAUGGGGCAACCCUGAUCUAGCCAUGCCGCGUGAGUGACGAAGGCCCUAGGGUCGUAAAGCUCUUUCGCCGGAGAUAAUGACGUACGGU
rnacentral:rRNA from 1 species